rnacentral:rRNA from 1 species
UACGUAGUGUGCGAGCGUUGUCCGGAAUUAUUGGGCGUAAAGGGCUCGUAGGCGGUCUGUCGCGUCGGGAGUGAAAACUCAGGGCUUAACCCUGAGCCUGCUUCCGAUACGGGCAGACUAGAGGUAUGCAGGGGAGAACGGAAUUCCUGGUGUAGCGGUGAAAUGCGCAGAUAUCAGGAGGAACACCGGUGGCGAAGGCGGUUCUCUGGGCAUUACCUGACGCUGAGGAGCGAAAGUGUGGGGAGCGAACAGG